CGUGCUUAACACAUGCAAGUCGAACGGUAAGGCCCUUCGGGGUACACGAGUGGCGAACGGGUGAGUAACACGUGGGUGAUCUGCCCUGCACUUCGGGAUAAGCCUGGGAAACUGGGUCUAAUACCGGAUAGGACUCCUGGCUUCAUGGUUGGGGGUGUAAAGCUUUUGCGGUGUGGGAUGGGCCCGCGGCCUAUCAGCUUGUUGGUGGGGUAAUGGCCUACCAAGGCGACGACGGGUAGCCGGCCUGAGAGGGUGACCGGCCACACUGGGACUGAGAUACGGCCCAGACUCCUACGGGAGGCAGCAGUGGGGAAUAUUGCACAAUGGGCGCAAGCCUGAUGCAGCGACGCCGCGUGAGGGAUGACGGCCUUCGGGUUGUAAACCUCUUUCAAUAGGGACGAAGCGCAAGUGACGGUACCUAUAGAAGAAGGACCGGCCAACUACGUG
rnacentral:rRNA from 1 species